rnacentral:rRNA from 1 species
AGUGAACGCUGGCGGUAGGCCUAACACAUGCAAGUCGAACGGCAGCACAGUAAGAGCUUGCUCUUACGGGUGGCGAGUGGCGGAUGGGUGAGGAAUACAUCGGAAUCUACUUUUUCGUGGGGGAUAACGUAGGGAAACUUACGCUAAUACCGCAUACGACCUACGGGUGAAAGCAGGGGAUCUUCGCACCUUGCGCGAUUGAAUGAGCCGAUGUCGGAUUGGCUAGUUGGCGGGGUAAAGGCCCACCAAGGCGACGAUCCGUAGCUGGUCUGAGAGGAUGAUCGGCCACAUGGGAACGGAGACACGGUCAAGACUCCUACGGGAGGCAGCAGUGGGGAAUAUUGGACAAUGGGCGCAAGCCUGAUCCAGCCAUACCGCGUGGGUGAAGAAGGCCUUCGGGUUGUAAAGCCCUUUUGUUGGGAAAGAAAAGCAGCAGGUUAAUACCCCGCUGUUCUGACGGUACCCAAAGAAUAAGCACCGGCUAACUUCGUG